CAUGCAAGUCGAGCGGUAACAGGGGGUGCUUGCUCCCCGCUGACGAGCGGCGGACGGGUGAGUAAUGCAUAGGAAUCUGCCCGAUAGUGGGGGAUAACCUGGGGAAACCCAGGCUAAUACCGCAUACGUCCUACGGGAGAAAGGGGGCUUCGGCUCCCGCUAUCGGAUGAGCCUAUGUCGGAUUAGCUGGUUGGUGAGGUAAAGGCUCACCAAGGCGACGAUCCGUAGCUGGUCUGAGAGGAUGAUCAGCCACAUCGGGACUGAGACACGGCCCGAACUCCUACGGGAGGCAGCAGUGGGGAAUAUUGGACAAUGGGGGGAACCCUGAUCCAGCCAUGCCGCGUGUGUGAAGAAGGCCCUCGGGUUGUAAAGCACUUUCAGUGAGGAAGAACGCCUGGUGGUUAAUACCCAUCAGGAAAGACAUCACUCACAGAAGAAGCACCGGCUAACUCCGUGCCAGCAGCCGCGGUAAUACGGAGGGUGCGAGCGUUAAUCGGAAUUACUGGGCGUAAAGCGCGCGUAGGUGGCUUGAUAAGCCGGUUGUGAAAGCCCCGGGCUCAACCUGGGAACGGCAUCCGGAACUGUCAAGCUAGAGUGCAGGAGAGGAAGGUAGAAUUCCCGGUGUAGCGGUGAAAUGCGUAGAGAUCGGGAGGAAUACCAGUGGCGAAGGCGGCCUUCUGGACUGACACUGACACUGAGGUGCGAAAGCGUGGGUAGCAAACAGGAUUAGAUACCCUGGUAGUCCACGCCGUAAACGAUGUCGACCAGCCGUUGGGUGCC
rnacentral:rRNA from 1 species